CAGAAGCAGCCAACAGCAGCAGCAGCAGUCGUCGUCGCAGUGCAUAUGUGUGUGUGUGUGUUCUGUGAGAGCGUCAGAGAGUGUAAUUUAAAGUUAAAGAGCCAAAAGCAAAAGAGAGCGCACUGUUGCUGCUGCUGCUUGUGCUUUUGUAAACGCAGGCCACAAGAAAAAAACGAAGCGUAGCAUCCGCGUGCUGCGCUGUUGGCUACUGAAGAACUGAAGCACUGGCCGGCUAGUCAGCCGAACCAGCCAUGCCAGCCGAACCACAGCAACAGCAGCCGAAACCGAAGUCGAACGAUAUGUAAUACGGUUCGUGAGCGACUGCGACGGCGACGGCGACGUCGAGACAGCUUCGUGUGCUGCCAAAGAGCGCCAUGAUGAUUACUUAAGCAGUGACUAACUAAACCAGCGCUAACAGUGUGCGGAGCGCACGAGCCAAACGAAGCAGCGAAGUAAAGCCAGAGGCUAAGCCGCCGUCGUCGUCGUCACAUAACAACUUAUUGCAUUGUAUAUUUAGCUGAUUCGGCUGCUGUGUCUGUUAGAUAGCGCACUGUUAACAGUUGCUCUGUUGCUUUGCCCUAACCUUAUGUUAUGACCAUAUGAAGCGCUCAUGCAUUUGAUUAGCUACAUCGAUUUUAAUGUCUCAUUUAAUUAGCUGGAAUUGUCAGAGCUAAUGGCCUGGCAGUUAUAAUUAGUUGCACUUUGUGACAACUUUAUCACUAGGUUUGACGGCCGCAAGCGAAUUUGCUCAUUAAAGCCAGAUGGGAGACGCGAGAGCGGCAACUAUUGCAGCGGAGGCAGCAGCACAACAAAAAGCCAGCCGAAGCCAGUGACAGGCAACAAUGGCAGAUGAAGUACAGUAAGCGCUUAUUAAAUGCGCUGAAUGCAAAUAAAACUUUUAAGCUUAAUAGAAAAUGGCGACUGAGGACUAUGGACGAGCAUCUGGGAGCAUCGAGAAACAAUGGCCGGAAAUUCGCGCUGCGGAAGCCAACAACAGCAACAACAACAGCAACAACGCCACUUGGGAGCUCGUCAGGCAGCCACAAAAAGCAGCUGUGUCCCGUCCUUGCCCCACUCAAAGGAAUUCGCCUAGCGCGGCACAAAACAAAGCGAGCGUAUAAUGUUGCGCCAUAGACCAGAAUCGGGGGAGUGAGGGUGCAAUAGUGAAAGGGCUGAUUGGGUUGCCCUCCCUUUAACUGACUGCAAGUUUUACCCCAAAAAAGUUAUGAAACAUUCGAGCAGAUUUUCAUAUUAUUUUCUUUUUUUUUUGGCUAAUAUAAAAGUCGAGUGCAUAAAUCAAAAGCUCUGCAUGUCCAUCUACUUCACAAACACUUGCCGUCCCUUUCAUGCAGUGUCACUUGGCAUAUUGAUUAAUGAGCCAUGAGCAACUGCACAUAGCUUGGCACUUAGCACGUGCUGGCCGGGUCCAAAGUCAGGUACAAGGACAACGGCAACAGCAAGAGCAACAGCGGCUACAAAUGUUAUUUAUGGGCGCCUCAGAAUGCAAUUUGUUGUGGUCAACAAAUCGCCAUACAAAUCGCGAACGAGAGAUCAUUAGAGAAUCAGAGACAGCCAGAGGGGGAGCAAGAGGCAGAGAGUGAGGGAAGAGAUGGGCGAGUGUUUUGCCCAAAAAAGAAGGACGCACCCAAAAGGUAAACAGACGAACUGAUGGACAGACGAGCAAGUGGACAGACGAACGCAGAGACAGCCGCAGGACAACAGCGACAACAACAGCAACAACAACAACAGGUAGUUGUUGCUAGCUUUUAUUGAAGCAAACGAACAUUUGAUACCCUUGCUAAGGGUUGGGAAUUCAUUAAUUGUAGCAUAAUAAGCUCUAGAUAAAUUCCUUUGAGAACUAGUUAAAUAAAACGCAUGUUUUUA